AAAGGGAGACCUAAUUCAGGUAAAAGACGAAAAAAAAGUAGUCGCUACCAAGAAUCAAUCCCAAAAGGUCGGAGCGAGGCGAAAUUGGCUUUCAAACUAGGUUCUGGGUUCAAACAAGACCUGAAUCAGGAACAAGGGCUAUUAGCUCAGGUGGUUAGAGCGCACCCCUGAUAAGGGUGGGGUCCCUGGUUCGAGUCCAGGAUGGCCCACCUGCACAGGUGGCAAAAACAAAGAAGCGAGGAAUCAGCACCUUAUCUUACUGACAUAGUAAGAGAGAAUGCUGGCUCUGAGUAAAGAGUCCAGAGGAACCUUGAAAACUGCAUAGAGCUAGGUGAAAAAGCCAAAAAAGAAGACCGCAAG
rnacentral:tRNA from 1 species